GAUGAAGAACGCAGCGAAAUGCGAUAAGUAAUGUGAAUUGCAGAAUUCAGUGAAUCAUCGAAUCUUUGAACGCACAUUGCGCCCGUCAGUAUUCUGGCGGGCAUGCCUGUUCGAGCGUCAUUACGCCCCUCAAGUCCCCUGUGGACUUGGUGUUGGGGAUCGGCGAGGCUGGUUUUCCAGCACAGCCGUCCCUUAAAUUAAUUGGCGGUCUCGCCGUGGCCCUCCUCUGCGCAGUAGUAAAACACUCGCAACAGGAGCCCGGCGCGGUCCACUGCCGUAAAACCCCCCAACUUUUUAUAGUUGACCUCGAAUCAGGUAGGACUACCCGCUGAACUUAAGCCUAUCAAUAAGCGGAGGA
rnacentral:misc_RNA from 1 species